rfam:Camelus ferus unplaced genomic scaffold scaffold839, whole genome shotgun sequence.
GAGGGUAUAGCUCAAGUGGUAGAGCAUGUGCUUAACAUGCCUGAGGUCCUGGGUUCAAUUCCCAGUACCUCCU